rnacentral:lncRNA from 1 species
AAUGCAUCAGUGAGAGAGAGACAAUGGGGAGGAGCGACCAGACGUCGGAGAGCAACAUAAACAAAGGCAAAAUGCGAGACGUGAACGAUUUAUAGGAAAAUUUGGAAACAGUUCAAGUCAAAGGCAAAAUCAUGUGACGAACCACCAGACUGACUACUCUUGUCCACUUUCUUAUCCAGGAUCAUCAUCUCACCAUCUCCCUCCUUCACAUAGGGGACAGUGUUCUACAGCCCACCAGUUUUACUGACCUUUGUCUUGCUUGGCUAUGAUCUUCACGUCUAACAAACGGUGUAAUUCCCCCACAUAAAACCAACGUCCCCACGUGACCCCCUCUCCCGUUAAGGUGACUUAAGUACAGGGUUUCCCCAGGCAAUGUUAUCUGUCACCUAAAUACCAGAGCGAGGUACAAGACUUUACAACCUGAAUAGCAACUGAAAGAGAGAGGGAGAGAAAGAAGGCACAAGAAGCCUGUAGUUCUUGAUAAUGCGGACUGGAAUAACAGAGCGAUGACCUGACAUCAUAGGAACAUAUCUGAUUUGCUUCACAUUCUAUAAAAACAGGUCUGUGGAAGAGGAGGGAACAAGCUGGAGGUGGAACUAAAGUGACAAGCAACAGUGGAUAGAGGGAAACGAGCUUACUGUACGCACACUUCCCAGAGUGGCACCAACACAUGGACAGUCAGACAAGAUGACCUCUCUUUGGUGUCUUGGUGUUCUGCUUGUCCUCCUGCUCCUCCACCAGGCCCACGGUGAGGAGCCGGAGCCGGAGCCCGUGUUCAGAGCGAAGGGCAGCGUGAUCGAGAUAGGGUAUUGUUUCGGGGUGGAUUACAUUGCCGUUUACAGAUCUUUUCCGGAGGGAGACCAACUACUCGGAAACUCCUCAGCCAACAACACGGCCGGCACACCUCCUGCAGACCUGCAGGAUCGUGCCCGCCUCAGCCAGCAUCAUCACCUGCUCGGGCUGCAGAUCAGAAAUCUCACACGAAUGGACUCGGGGAUGUACAGACGGGAAUGCUGGCAGAACCAGAAGCUUGUCAGCCAGCUCACGCAGCAGCUCUCUGUUUGCGACGAGGAGGUUGAAUCGGAGGAGAUCGUUGUGAAGGAGGGAGCUGCGGCGGUUGAGCUUCGGUGCAACAGCACUUCCUCAGGUCUGGAGGGAACCUCUGUGCACUGGUACCAUGAAAUGUAUCCGUUCUAUAAGCUCACGCGCUUCCUCGACAGCAGCGUUUCACUGGAGCCUCUGGUGGAGGAGAUGAAGGGUGUCGUGGAGGUCAGAGACGGAGGGGCUCUGCUCGUGCUUGACAACAGAGUGCUGAAGAAAAGUCAGCACUUUCACUGUCUUGUGGUCGAAGGUAAGAAUUGCCUCAGUUUCCAAAACAUGUAUUUACCAGACCACACUGAGAGCAAGGACAUUUUUGCCUCACAAGGCGACAGAGUGGUGCUGAAGUGCCCCUCUGACGGUAACAACCAGCAAUGGGACACACCGCUGGGAAAGAUCAAUGGCAGCAGCACGAGGAACAGUCAGGUGUCCAUUUCGGUUGGUGACGAAUCAGGCGACUUCUCGCUGAUCAUUUCUGCAGUCACCGAUGAGCAUAGCGGGGAAUAUUCGUGCAUCUCCUCUUCACUCGAGCUGCAGUACUUGCUGGUACUUUGCCCCAAAAAGAAAAUGCAAAGUGAGCCAAGAUGAUUCCCACAGGGUGCAGUGGUACCACACCGACACGUCAGGGGAAUACAAACUUAUCCAUGACUCAAACGACAAGACUGUUCCCGGCCUGGAGGAUCCGAUGGGCAGGGUGACUGUGUACAACAACGGAUCCUUGCUCACAAUCUCCAGCGUGGAGAUGAAAGAUGCAGGGGUGUACUGGUGUGUUGUCUUAGCCGCCGGGGGCCCCAUCUUCCUGGAGGAUGAUGAUUUCAAAUAUGACUAUAAUGGGGAAGACACGAAGGUUGAUGAAUACGGUGAUGAGCCGUACUGGGACAGCGCACACAGGUGCAUUCUUAAACAGGAGACCGUCGUGACACUAAUCAAGUCUGCGACCUUUGAACCAGGGACCAGAAACCUUGACGCCAGCCCCACAGCUGACCCGUCGGCAGCCUCCAAUGUUGCGGCCUAUGCGGCGGGGGCAGGAGUGGCGGCGCUGGUGCUGGUGGUUGGAGCGAUCGCUGCGGGGAUUGCAGUCAAGAAAAGAAGGGCAACAUCUCGACUAAAUGCGGACAAGGGCAUUAACCUGAAUGAGGAUCCCCGUUGUACCCAGGGGUUAACCAGUGAUGAAUGUGGUGCUUAACAGCUUUUCCCGAAGUAGCUUCAGCGUUUUACAUCCAAUUGACAUUAACUGUGCCACGAAACAUGUCCACAAAUCAUGUCUCUGUCCAACUGUUUUCCCCAGUUAGCGCAUAUGAAAUGGUCGUAUUUCUACUUUAACUUUUGUGCUUAUGCUGCCUUCCUUCUCUUAAUCUUAGGUGCUAAUGACUAAUGCUGGAGUGGAAACUAUUAAAAUGUUGUUUUUGCUUUCACUUUUCCAUUUUUAGCCUGUGACUGAAAGUCGUCCACAUUCCCCAUUGCUGUCCUUCCACAAAGUGUCUCUUCCGUUUUUAAAUGGACGAUGUCGUGUCCUUCAGUGCGAGCCAUGUACACAAUGUCUCGGACUUAUCUGAUGGUAUGGCUGUGGUGUGUCAGUGAGUGAUGACUAAAGAAACCUGUCGGGUUUCUCUGCUGUCAACAGAUUGUUCGGUGCCAAUAAGGCUGAGCGACACUGCCAGAAAGUACCCAAAGCUCCGCUGCCAUCCCAUUGUGCUGUGCAGCACAUGGAAGUAACGAGGGGCAACUGCAGAGAGACGGUUCAUGUUAAUGUUAUUGGCACGGCUCCGAAAACUUUGUUCAGAGGAAUGUUUAUGUUUCUGUGUCAUGUUUCUGUGCACCAGAUACUGUAAACGGCAAAUUUAAUAAUUGCUCCUUUUUGGUCUUCACACUUUCCUGGUAGAAAUAUCUGGCUCUUUAGCUACCACAUUUUCCAAAUGUACAAAAAAAAUAAAAUAUAUCUAUAUAUAUAUAUAUAUAUCUAUAUAUAUAUAUAUAUAUAUAUAGAUAUAUGAAAAGCCAAAGAGAAAAUCAAUGGUAAGAACUCAAGCUGUCACUUCUAUUUUGAUAAUUCCAAAAGGCUGCAUGCAAUGUGCAUUCUGACAAUGAAAGACAGACUGAACAAAUAAACACUGCACACGACAAAUGCACAUGUUUAAGUGUCUGACAUCUCUGUUGUGCAUGCUCUCUAUACCUUAAGCUAUCUCAUCCAACACUACACACAUUAACUACACGGAAAUCAAUAUCUGCUGUGGCUGCGUACUGAGCAAGUUAAGCAGCAGUCCGCCGCAGAGUGAAGAUAUUGAUCCCAUAUCGCAGUUUGUGUUUGCAAAACACAAAAUGGGAUACAGUGUAUGAAGUGAUUAUAUGCGUUGCUAACUGGCUGACUGUGUGAGGGGUGUGCAGUCUUAUGUUUUCACAAAAUAUGAGCAGCCACCACUGUGUCCGGGUGUCGUUGGUGUCACACUCGGGGAGACUGAGGCGCUGCUUCAAGUCUCUUUUGUAACAAGCUCACACGAAUCUGAAUAAAUAUUUUUAAACCAGAAUCUGGAAAAUGGCUCAUUAUCAUGUAAUCUGAAUUUGAUUUGUGCAGCCGUAAGAACGUCUUCAGGAGAAGACACGUUUUUAUUCUUACAUUCUUGCCACUGUUAUCCAUUUACUCAAGGUGUUAAGAGACAGUUUGCAGCGGUGAACAGGUUGUUCAGUUAUCAACUGGGAGGCCACUCAAACCGUUCUUCUGUCACAACAGGGCGAGGAAAGCUGGCUCAGAUUCUCCCCCACCUAGCCGACCACACUGCACAUCAAACAUGAACAAACCCAUGUGUCCUGCUUGUGCUAUUCUCAUAGGAAGAAAGUGCACAACAGUUUUUCACAUACCGACGGAUGAGAAAUUUAAGCAUGGUAUAAGUGCGGAGUUAACAUCCAAGCGUACUCUGCUGCAUGAAUAAAAACGCAGAGCAGGCCCAGUUGAUUCAGACAAGAAAGAAAAGAUCUGAGUGACUUUAAGAGAAGAGAGUACGAGUGGCCGCAGUCACAAAGACCAGGCCAAUGGCCAGUGUUUCAACAGGAACAGUGACAUCUGCAUUUGGAUCUAUGGGGUCGAACAUCGUGGUCCGCAGCACACAUUUAAUGACUGUGACGCUCGUGCAUUAGCGUCACAUGAAAAACAGAGCAGCUCUUCCUCAGUCGACUGAGAACGUCAAUGCAAGGCGUGAUCAGACCGUGUCAGCAAGAACGGUCGGUCGACAACCACACGGAGAUGGGAUAUUGUGGCAGGGGCUGCAGGGAAACGGUCGGAUGAGUCAUCCUUCACUCUGCUCUGGCGACUCAAGUGGGUGAGUGCAUGAUGCGGCGCACACCAGGCAGUACAGUGCUGAAUCCUUGACCCUUACAGUUGAGGGCAUCCAGUGGGAUUUGAUAUGAAUGGGGACGUGAUAUGAGUGAGGGUCAUUUUUGCUAUGCACGGUUCGGGUCCACUUGUCCUCCUCAGAGGGAAGAGUCACUGCAAAUCAAUGCACAAUUAUAAUUCUGAGAUGAAACAUGUCCGUCCUGCUGCGAUCAGGAUGACAAUGCCCCCCAUAACCACAGGGCAUGAGUCGCUAAACAAAUUCAUGACAAUGACAAUGAUGUGGAUGACAAACCACAGCCUUUCCAGUCAACAGAUAUCAACUUUAAAAACCAUCUUAAAAACCUCUGGGAGAUUUUGGGCGGACGUGUACGACGUGUUCUCUCCAACCUCAACAUCAAAACAGAAAAAAAAUAUCUACUGAUAUCUUUGGGAAGAAUGUUUUUCCAUCCCUCCUAUAGAGAGAGACUUGUAGAAUCAACGUCAAGGUGCACAGGAGGAGUUUUGGGCGGCUCAUGCUGCACAGCUGCUGUUUGUCUCAUUUAUAGCUGCAGGUUGUUGAACUGAUCAAUAUAUUUAGUUUGCAGUAAUAUAUGUACAUAACAUUUUAAAUUAUGAAGCCGUGAGGUAUUUAUUCAUCAAACCAUGAAUAAUAAAUCUUGCAUAUGAUGCACUUUGGGAGGGUAUAUAAAAUGAUUUUGAUCUAAGGUGUUUAGUCUAAAUCCAGACUUUUAUACGCGACACACUCAUAAUUUCAGUGCUUGUUGUUUUACUCCUGGAUGGUGACAUUGAACAAAGUGCAAUUAUUAAAAACAAAGAGGAAAUAAAGUCAAAAUCCUGAGAAAACCCGUGGGUCUUCGACCAAAUGAGCAAAAAGCAGCUUGUCAGAGGACCCGGGAGUGGAAAAGGGGGCAGAGAAGUUCAGAGAUGUAUUCAACAAGUAACAUGGCACCGGUGUGGAAGAAGCAUUGUGUAUUCAUUUAUCUAUUCAGAGUUGUUUUUUCCCUCGGAAUUAAAAAAAAAAAAAAAAAAGAGCAGACUAAAACUGGUGAAAAGUUUGAAAUGACGACUUUACCAGUCCAUUAUUUUGAAUAAACCACAUUACUUCUAUUGUUGCUGCUACACUCUUGCUGCAAUAUUAAUGAGAGGAUGUGAGGUGAUUCUUUUUCCAUUGCUUAUUUACUAAAUAAAAGAUUUUCUGCACUCAGGAUCCGAU